rnacentral:rRNA from 1 species
UCGUCAGCUCGUGUCGUGAGAUGUUGGGUUAAGUCCCGCAACGAGCGCAACCCUUGCCUUUAGUUGCCAGCAUUAAGUUGGGCACUCUAGAGGGACUGCCAGGGAUAACCUGGAGGAAGGUGGGGAUGACGUCAAAUCAUCAUGCCCCUUAUGCUUAGGGCUACACACGUGCUACAAUGGGUGGUACAGAGGGCAGCCAAGUCGUGAGGCGGAGCUAAUCCCUUAAAGCCAUUCUCAGUUCGGAUUGUAGGCUGAAACUCGCCUACAUGAAGCUGGAGUUACUAGUAAUCGCAGAUCAGAAUGCUGCGGUGAAUGCGUUCCCGGGUCUUGUACACACCGCCCGUCACACCACGGGAGUUGGGGGCGCCCGAAGCCGGAUUGCUAACCUUUUGGAAGCAUCCGUCGAAGGUGAAAUCAAUAACUGGGGUGAAGUCGUAACAAGGUAACCGUA